ensembl:lncRNA
AUCCAGAUUCAAUACCAUCGACCUUGGUCUCUCUUAUCUCCUGCAACUGCUCCCUUCUGGAGAAAACUCAGCAGCUGACAAAAUAUAAGUGGGUCUGUGUCGCUUCGAAUGAAAGAGGAUCCUGCUGGUGGCACAUGUGAUCCUCUGCCUUCCCAGUUCCAUCCGCCUUCUCAGAUUCAGGACCCUAUCUUCAUCUCCAGCCAACUCCAGUAACUUCAGCAGAACCUCUGAUGUCUGGGCUCCUCGGGGGGGAGCCCCACAGCUAAAUCUCAAAUCGCGUCAUUGAGUUCAAGCGCCAAAUAAAUUUGCCUCAUGUACUCAUGAAGGCUUCAUCAAGCAUAAUAAAUAUGAACUACUAAUCAUUCACAUGUCUCUCCUAAUUGAACUUCUAUUGUUUAAAAUACUGUAAAAAUUCCUAGACACCUCACCAGAGGUGAGAUAUGAAGACUGGGUUCCUCUGCUGAUGAGGCAAACAAAUGAGUACAUGAAAUAUAUUUCAGAAUGUAUAUAUUAUAACCUGAAUAUACACAUAUAUCAUCUAAACCUUUCUGGCUACGUUAUGAAUUGAUAUAUGAAGUCCCUCCAUAAUCAGAAGAACGACAAGAUGUUAUUCGUUAUUAAGCACCAUCACAACUGUGUUCGGAACAGAGGAAAAGUCAUAAACCACAAAAGCAAACUCUUGAAGGAAAUACUGGAGAGCGAUGAGUACACGUAGCAGCCAAACAGCGGAUGCAGGGGAGAAUAUACCUUGUGUUGGCAUGGGGGUGGAGUAAAAAAUAAAACAGGAAACACAUGUACAAUUAAUUGGAUGUUAUGAAAAACCAAAGUCAAUAGUCUUCACUAUUGACUGAAUAUUAGCAGUCAAAUCAAAUAUUUAAACCAAUAUGCAUGUAUUGCAUAUGUUUGCAUUCAUCCCACUUUAAUAUUAAAUCCUUCUGCUUAUUUUUACCAUCUUUUAUUCUAUUCUUUUUAGUUUUUUUCGUUGUUGUCUUCGGUUUUUCACAUGUUGUAUGUCUUUCACUUAAUCUCAGAUUAAGCAUUCUUGAUCAGCCUUGCUGCUGAAAGAUGCAACUGGAAAUAAUCUACCUUUUCUUCCACCUCUCGCCAGCCCUCCGGACUAGUCCUCCACCCUCCUGCCUCACGUAAAGUAUGCAAAGUUCCCAGCACAGCUUCUCCAGCAGCACAUCCAUCAUUACCUGAGGGAGUCAGUGUAAGCCUAAUCAAGACUUUGAUUAAUUGAAAAAGGAACAGAGAGAGGUGGGCCAGGAUCAGCAGGCCUUUGGGCUCAGCCUGCUCUCUCUCCCGGCUUGGUGGAGGGUUGGCUGGCUGCAGUAUUAAAUGCCAUAUGGUGGUGCUGCUGCGCAUAAGAUCAACUUCUUGCAGAGUGGUAUCAAAUUUGCAGUACGCUUUCCCCUACCCUUAUCUUUUUAUUGAAAUUAGGUCACCUAUUUAGAAAUUGUACAAGUUUAGAACUUGUGAUGUAAACAUUGAAAUUAUUUCCAAAAUAUGUAGCACAUGCAUUGUUGCAUACUUCUGAGUUCUUCUUUGUUGUAUUUUUCUGUUAAUUCUUUUACAUUUUUGCCCAAUAUUUAUAGCACUAAAUGGUAUAUUGUUUUAUAUUACUUGUGCAUGCCACAUCAAUUAAACAACUUUCAGGUGAUUCUCAGGGUCAAAUCUAUUUAAACCUUUCAUUGAAAAACUGCUGGCAGGCAAGUAUUUCUGUGACUUAUUUGUUCGCACAUCUGGAUAAUAUAAUAACCCCAUAAUAUCACAACCCAAUCAUUAUUUUUCCCAGACUAAAUUGUGUUUUAUUUUAUAGGAUGUCACUGAUGUCAGGUGCGGCAAGGACAAACCUAUUGAACAAUCUCUGCUCCCUUUGGAGUACUAACUGAUAGCAUGACCUUAGACUUGUCUUGAUCUACCAUUAAAUACAGUUUUGAAUAAACUACAACCACAGAGUGAGUGAUUAAAGAAGUCUCUGACAGUGUCUUUAAGUAACAGAGAUAUUACACCAAUUUUGUCUUCCAGCAUUGCAGGUACCAUAACACUGCCAGAGAAGAUAAAAUGCUCAGUUUCAUCUGCGUCUUACUCACUCACUCACUCCUGCAUUCAUUCAUUCAUUCACUCGCCUACUCAAUCACAGACACACUCACACACACUGCUGUAGCGGCGAGAUAAAACAUUUUUGUAGAUUGCGAAUGCGGGUAGGAAGAAAAAUGAUAUCAGGUAAUCACUGUGAGGCGUUACUAGUCAUUACUCUGAGCUGUCACUCGGAGAUGAGAGACAAGGCAGCGAGUCGCCAACACUGGACUGACUCCCUUUCUCAUUCCUCCUGUGAAUUCCUUUGUUAUUUUGGAUCCUAUUGAAUAGUCCAUUUUGGUUUCUCUUUUAUUUAUUUCCUGGAAGGUGGAGAGUGAGUGAGUCCACUGCAUCUGCAAGUUUGACCUUGACUGGGAUGAAGACUGCAUCACCAUCAAAGGCCAUGCUUCUGCUACAGAUAAAGCCUGAGAAGAAAAAUUGCUUAGAUGCAGGUGUGAAAAUGUCGGCCCACUGCUCUGUUUGAAUGUGUUCAACUUUUCCACAAAUGCAAAAACUAUUAUUAAUACCACAAUAUAUACCUCUUAUUUAAAUGUUGUAGUAUGGCGUUUUAUUUUAUUACAUAGAGUAAUUCCCUGAGUACUGGCCUAGGUUAAAGUUAAAAC